rnacentral:rRNA from 1 species
ACGGAGARACUAACAAGGAUUCCCUUAGUAACGGCGAGUGAAGCGGGAAGAGCUCAAAUUUGAAAUCUCACCUCUGGUGCGAAUUGUAGUUUAGAGAAACGUUUUCGGGCUUGACGGUAGGUACAAGUUCAUUGGAACAUGACAUCAUAGAGGGUGAAAAUCCCGUCUUUGACCUACUGUUCAAGUCUAUAUGAUACGUUUUCCAAGAGUCGGAUUGUUUGGGAAUGCAGUCCAAAAUGGGUGGUAAAUACCAUCUAAAGCUAAAUAUUGGCGAGAGACCGAUAGCGAACAAGUACCGUGAGGGAAAGAUGAAAAGAACUUUGAAAAGAGAGUUAAACAGUACGUGAAAUUGUCAAAAGGGAAACGUUUGAAACCAGUAUUGCAUGCAAGAAUUUAGCUGUGAUUUAUUGCAGUGUCCUUUUUUGUUUGCAAGUCAACAUCAGUUUGAUUUGGAGUAAAAAGCUAAAGGAAGGUGGCCUUCGGGUGUUAUAGCCUUUAGUUCUGCUCUGAAUUGGACUGAGGUCUGCAGCUUUUGCUUAGGAUGUUGACGAAAUGGUUUUAAGCGACCCGUCUUGAAACACGGACCAAGGAGUCUAACAUGUAUGCGAGUAUUUGGGUGGCAAACCCUUAUGCGUAAUGAAAGUGAAAAGGUGGGAUUCCUCUGGAUGCACCAUCGACCGCGCCAGAUUAUUGCUAUCUCGGCGUGAGUAUGAGCAUAUAUGCUGGGACCCGAAAGAUGGUGAACUAUACCUGAAUAGGGUGAAGCCAGAGGAAACUCUGGUGGAGGCUCGUAGCGGUUCUGACGUGCAAAUCGAUCGUCAAAUUUGGGUAUAGGGGCGAAAGACUAAUCGACCUC